AGACGCAUUUGAGGAGAGCAAGAUGGCUCCCGGCCAUCGGAACUCUUGGCCGGUCUUAACCGCGGCCCAGCCGAAAAGAUUGCGCUCCCUCAUCGAACCGCGCGCACUAAAGGCCUCACAAAGCCCAGCUCGUGGCUCCCAAAGUAGGCCACUCCGAUGCGUUUGGAUUGGGUUCCUUUCCGGACCUGCAACACUUUCCCCAGGAGUUGGACAGGUUCAAGAAGAGGAGGGCCAGGUUGCAAGGGAAGACGAGACAACAGACCAAAACCUCAAGUCAUCUAACUGAAGCAUGCACAGAGGAGAGAACUUUGACCUCCGGCUGCACCCGGAACCAAAGUCUUGCCACCCCCACCAUGGAACCAAAUGACCAAGGUAUAACCAGAACUUGAAUGCUGGAACCCCUUCAGGCGCCAAGGGCCCAUUGUUCAGGAAAAUCCGGUGCUGACAUCCUUUUACCAUAAAUGGCCAAGUUCCAAGGUCCUCCAAUUAAAACUUGUCCUACCAGCACUUUUGCAUACCUGUUUUUCCUAACCACUUAAAACUGCUUUUAUCCUCCAAA